GCGGAAGCGGGCGGGGAAGCCGCAGCACGCGGAGGGCGGGGCGGGCGCGGUGAUAGUCCGGGAUUUGGUGCCCAAAUGCGAGACUGGCCCGCGGGCUGGGGAAGGAGGUGGAGACAGGAGCCCCGCCCACUUUCCGGGCUGGGUUCUUGGAACUAGCCCGGAAAUCCUGGGACUCAUUUCUUGGUCUAGAUCCGGACCCUUGGUUUUAAUCGAAAUGGACUGAUAGGGUCUCUCGGAGUGUCAUCUCACUCGUUACCCCUGCAUUCCAACAACUGCUCAGGCGUGGGCCCUGUUUGCCUCCCUCCACAGGCUGGGAACCCGGCUGAGCAGUAAGGUCCCUCCUAGCUUCCCCUUCAGUUUCACCAUGAUCAGGGGGUGAGAGCGAAGCCCUGGACCACAAGCCACCUCUAGACGGAUCUGCAAGUCGCAAGACCUUCUUUUCCCCUCGCCCUCCUCUCGGCUCCCGUGGGCUCCAUACGCAGAGAGUUGAGGGGCAACCUCAGCUGGCUCCUUUCUUUGCAGUCUUUGCAAAAGAGGGUCGAGAGACUCACUCUGUAGCCCAGGCUGGCCUUGAACUUGUGACCAUCCUCCUGCCUCAGCCUCUCGAGUGCUGGGAUUACAGACAGCAUCUCUCUUUGUAUUCCAAGCUGUCCUUGAAGUCACUAUGUCACCCAGGCUGGCCUCAAACUCGUGACCAUCCUCCUACCUCAGUCUUUCAGUUGCUGGGAUUACAGGCCUGCACCACCAUACCUG
rnacentral:lncRNA from 1 species